UUUCUUAAGGUAGCCAAAUGCCUUGUCAUCUAAUUAGUGACGUGCGUGAAUGGAUUAACGAGAUUCCCACUAUCCCUAUCUCCUAUCUAGAGAAACCAUAGCCAAGGGAACGGACUUGGAAGAAUCAGUGGGGAAAGAAGAAAUUGUUGAGCUUGACUCUAGUAUGACUUUGUGAAAUGACUUGAGAGGUGUAGAAUAAGUGGGAGCCAUUUUCGGCACAAGUGAAAUGCCACUAAUUUUAACAUUAUUUUACUUAUUUUGUGGAGUGGAGAUGGGGCAUUGCCCCUGUUUUUGUCCAUAAGAAAUGUUUCGGCGGGUAGAUCUGGGUGGAAGACAUUGUCAGAUGGAGAGUUUGCUUAUUCCUUUAACGUUAUUUUACUUAUUCCUUGAAUGUUUGUGGAAUAAAUGAAGAUAUUACAAAUGGACAAGAAAUUUUGAUGUGGGUGAUUGGCUU
rnacentral:ncRNA from 1 species